rnacentral:lncRNA from 1 species
GUUAAAUUCCAUAGAAUUGUUUUCUUGUUUACAUUAGUGACCAUAUCAGAGCACAGUGUACUCCUCUUGCCGUAUUCAGAGGAUUUGCCUAUGGGCAGCAACAUUAUUCUCUCGUUCUCUGGAUAUUAGGAACAAUAUCACAGGACCGGCGGACAGCCCCAGUCAUAUCUGAAAAUAUCACAGCACGGUGUACUCCUCUUGCCGUAUUCAGAGGAUUUGCCUAUGGGCAGAAACAUUCCCCUCUCCUUCUCUAAAUAUUAGAAACAUUAUCACAGGACCGGCAAACAGCAGCAGUC